GCUUAGCAUAUCAAUAAGCGGAGGAAAUCAGGGCAAACCAACAGGGAUUGCCCUAGUAACGGCGAGUGAAGCGGCAAGAGCUCAAAUUUGAAAUCUGGCUCCUUUGGAGUCCGAGUUGUAAUUUGUAGAGGGUGCUUUGGUGUCGGCUAUGGCCUAAGUUCCUUGGAACAGGACGUCACAGAGGGUGAGAACCCCGUAUGUGGCUGCUAGCCUUCACCAUGUAAAGCCCCUUCGACGAGUCGAGUUGUUUGGGAAUGCAGCUCUAAAUGGGAGGUAAAUUUCUUCUAAAGCUAAAUAUUGGCCAGAGACCGAUAGCGCACAAGUAGAGUGAUCGAAAGAUGAAAAGCACUUUGGAAAGAGAGUCAAAAAGCACGUGAAAUUGUUGAAAGGGAAGCGCUUGCAGCCAGACUUGCUCGUAGUUGCUCAUCCGAGCUUUUGCUCGGUGCACUCUUCUGCGAGCAGGCCAGCAUCAGUCCGGGCGGUUGGAUAAAGGCUCUGGGAAUGUAGCUCUCUUCGGGGAGUGUUAUAGCCCAGGGUGUCAUGCAACCAGUCUGGACUGAGGUCCGCGCAUCUGCUAGGAUGCUGGCGUAAUGGCUGUAAGCGGCCCGUCUUGAAACACGGACCAAGGAGUCUAACAUCUAUGCGAGUGUUUGGGUGUCAAGCCCGGGCGCGCAAUGAAAGUGAACGGAGGUGGGAACCCUUCGGGGCGCACCAUCGACCGAUCCUGAUGUCUUCGGAUGGAUUUGAGUAAGAGCAUAGCUGUUGGGACCCGAAAGAUGGUGAACUAUGCCUGAAUAGGGUGAAGCCAGAGGAAACUCUGGUGGAGGCUCGCAGCGGUUCUGACGUGCAAAUCGAUCGUCAAAUUUGGGCAUAGGGGCGAAAGACUAAUCGAACUAUCUAGUAGCUGGUUCCUGCCGAGUCUCC
rnacentral:rRNA from 1 species